rnacentral:rRNA from 1 species
AGUGAACGCUGGCGGUAGGCCUAACACAUGCAAGUCGAACGGCAGCACAGUAAGAGCUUGCUCUUACGGGUGGCGAGUGGCGGACGGGUGAGGAAUACAUCGGAAUCUACUUUUUCGUGGGGGAUAACGUAGGGAAACUUACGCUAAUACCGCAUACGACCUACGGGUGAAAGCAGGGGAUCUUCGGACCUUGCGCGAUUGAAUGAGCCGAUGUCGGAUUAGCUAGUUGGCGGGGUAAAGGCCCACCAAGGCGACGAUCCGUAGCUGGUCUGAGAGGAUGAUCGGCCACACUGGAACUGAGACACGGUCCCGACUCCUACGGGAGGCAGCAGUGGGGAAUAUUGGGCAAUGGGCGCAAGCCUGAUCCAGCCAUACCGCGUGGGUGAAGAAGGCCUUCGGGUUGUAAAGCCCUUUUGUUGGGAAAGAAAAGCAGCAGGUUAAUACCCCGCUGUUCUGACGGUACCCAAAGAAUAAGCACCGGCUAACUUCGUG